GGAUGUGGUUCAGUGGUAUAACACUUGUCUAGCAUGCUUGAGGCCCUGGGUUUGAUCCCCAGCACCA
rnacentral:tRNA from 1 species